CAAGGCCAACCACGUAUUUUUAGCAGUUUUCAUGUUUUCAUUUAUUUUUAAUACAGUCGGAUUGGGUCUGGGUCUGGGCACUUAAGGGCUAUCUACAAUGAGACGUUGUCGUAAGCACUAGGCUGAAGCGUUAGUCGUUGUCGUUGUCGUUUUGCCGGAGACGGGGCAGCGUUCCGAUUUCGUUCCGACAUGAAUCCACAAUGUCGUUACCGUAACGCGCGACACUUCGAUUCUGCAGCCAAUCAGAGUACAGAAUGUUUUGUGGCAGAGGGCGGUGUUGCCACCGGCGUGCACGUUAACGUUGUCGGAAGACGGAAGAGAUGGGAGUUGGUCAUCUCUCUUACGACAGCCGAUUACGACAUCCGUCAAACGCUUCCGUCAAACGACUUCAUUGUGGAACGCACGUUCCGUCUUCCGACAACGACUUCCGUCAUCCGUCUUACGGUUAUGUCUCAUUGUAGAUAGCCCUUUAGGCGAAAAACGCGUACCCAUAAGGUGGACACUACCGCAAGAGGCGUUAGUGUUGAAAGAGCGAAUCACGUGGUAGCACUAGGCGUGCGUAGUUAUCUCUCUUGAAUACGUAAUCUGCAGCUUUGUUCGUAAUGUGUAAUAUACCGUAAUUGGAAUUGAAAGAAGUGGAAAGAAGCAAUAAUAACCAGAAAGUGCAUCGUGCCCUGCUUGAAUUACAAUGCUGGCUUCUUCGACACUAGAGCUUGCCGGCAAAAUCGUCCACAUUACGGUUACGAGCUACAACGUGGUGAGGAUUGCUGAGGAUAGGGAAGUGCCCAGACCUAUAUACAAGACCCUGAGCAUAACGUAUGUAUAGCUAUUGUGCUCCGUAACCUGAUGGCUGUGAGCCGCUUGUACUCGUUAAGAUGUCAAAACGUUGGGGAAAUGACUAUGUGGUUACGGAGCAUCGAGAUUUACAGGCUAAUACUAUGGCUGUGGAUGCGACUGGUAAUUACGUUUUACUAGCUGGACGCAGAUACUUUGCUAUUAAACAACUUGAUGAAGGGACUGACGCAUUAAGAAAAUUUCAGCGUCAAAGCAAGUACGAGGUUGGAUCUGCUGAAUGGAAUCCAACAUUAAUCAAUUGUCAUCUGUGUGCAAUAUCUAGCAAUACUCGUGUUGAGAUAUUGAGCUUUGCUGGAGGUGGAGGAUAUGACUUGACUACGACUCAUAGCUUAAGAGCACACACUCGAGUUGUUAGUGAUUUAAAUUGGCAUCCUAAAGAACCUGAUAUCUUAGCUUCUUGCAGUAUUGAUACUUUUAUACAUAUUUGGGAUAUACGGGAUCAAAGAAGACCUUGCUUAUCUUUGUCUGCUGUUGCAGGGUCAUCACAAGUAAGAUGGAAUGGUUUAUCACCGCAUACAUUGGCUACAGCUCAUGAUGGUGAUGUUAAGAUAUGGGAUCAGCGUAAAGGAAAUAGUCCUGUGCAAUAUAUAGCUGCCCAUCUUACAAAGAUUCAUGGUCUCGACUGGUGCCCAUUCCAACAGAAUCAAUUGGCAACAUCCAGUCAAGAUUGUACUGUAAAGAUAUUUGAUGUUAGUAAUCCUAGAAGGGCGGAAAGUAUUCUCACUACAAAUUCUCCUGUAUGGAGAGCUAGAUAUACGCCUUUUGGAGAAGGACUGGUUACGAUAGUUGUUCCACAAUUGCGACGUGGUGAAAAUAGUUUAUUACUGUGGAAUACUUCUAAUCUUGGAACACCUAUUUACACAUUUGUAGGCCAUACAGAUGUUGUCUUAGAAUUUCAGUGGCGACACCAAAAACUAGAAUCUAAUGAUUUUGAAUUAAUAACGUGGUCGAAGGAUCAAUGUCUAAGGAUAUUCAAGAUCGAUCCAUUCUUGCAGAAGCUAUGUGGUCACGAUCUAGACGAUGGUACCUCUGUGUAUACUCAGUAUUCAGAAGACAAUAAUCCCAAAACAUUAAAUUCAGUUCAGCAGCUUCAAUUUCACGACACUCAAAACGAAAGAGAGAUGAACUGCGUUUCUUCAAAAAUGGAUAGUCAAUCGUUGCAUCAUGAUGUCAGUACUUACACCGAUUUCGACAAGGAAGUGCCAUCCCCAACGCAACCAAAGACAUUACAACAGGAAUUCUCCUUAAUCAAUAUGAAUAUACCAAAUAUAGAGGUGAACACAAUGGACGCGGUGGAACGUAGCUGUACCGUGACAGCUUCUAAUAAAAAUUACAAUGUUAUACUGAAAGUUAAUUUUCCUGGUAAUUAUCCAUACAGCGCACAGCCGACCUUCCAAUUCUGUCCAGGAACAACAGUGGAUAACCCAACAAUGGCAAAACUACUAAAAGUUUUAAAGCAAACAGCACAACAAAGAGUUCGAAAAAAUCGUUCCUGCUUGGAACCAUGUUUAAGGCAGCUCAUCAUAACGUUAGAACAAAUGUGCGCUAUUGAUGAAUCCGAAGGAAAGCAUUUAGGAUAUAUGCAACAUAAUGCAAAUUUUUUAAAUUCAACAGGAGUCUUUACAAAUUAUCAAGAUGCAUAUAUUCCAUUUCCACGUACGUCAGGUGCCAAGUUCUGUUCCGUAGGUAUUCUAGUUUGCUUCGGUCGCUCUUCCUAUGUCAGACGGCCUUCCAUAAAACCAGAAGGAGCUACUCCAAGAGCACUAUCUGCCUUGGGAAAUGGUGUUAAUAAUAGAGGACACUUUAUGCACAUGUACUCCAAUGCCUAUGCGCAGCCAAGCGAUAAUGUUUCCAUAAGCUCCUUUUAUUUUCAAGAACGUAAAAGUACAAGACGUGGUGUACAUGGUAUGAGUAAAACUCACAAUAGAUCUUGCUGUAGAAAUUAUCAUUCCAUGGUCACGAUAUACGAUGCAUCAUCAUUGUUUUUCGUGAACAAAGAACUGGCUGAGAAAUACGUUAUAAAUAUAACGGAUAUCCCAGCAAUGUGUCGAUAUAAUGCAAAUGUUGCUGCUUCGUUAGAACGACCUGAUUUGGUCCAGGCAUGGUAUUUAGCAGCUCUGAUUAUAUCCCAACCACUGACAAACACUCAACAAAAUUCUUGUCAGUCAUCUGACAUUGAUGCAACAUGGCCUCUACAUCCAUUUGGGCAAAAUUUAAUACAUUCAUUAAUACAACAUUAUGCCAGUCAGUCAGAUAUACAGAUGGCAGGGAUGCUGAGCUGCACCUUUAGUUACAGAUCUGAGAAUUCAGAUUCAAUCCAGGGACGAUCUAUUAGUAAAUCUGUAAACGUUAGUAGGCUUUCCAUAGGAAAAUGGUGCUUAAAGGUAAGCCUGGGGGCUCACCGUAUCACACAAUACAUCCAGCGGAUACUUCGUUGGAGGGAUGGAACUUCCAGGAUCUCAAACAACACAGGUCUAAUUCUUGGUCAGAAUCAUUGGACGAUCCUAAAAUUAUGCAGGAUUCUUUCACGGACACCGGCCGCAAUAUUAGGAUGUUGGAUGAGAAGAAUACCACACUUUACGACGGAUACAAGAAAGCAUAUGCGGAGGUAUUGCACCGAUGGCGAUUAUUAGAUGCCAGGGCACAAGUCCUUAAACAUGUAAACGCAACGUCAUCGGAUACACAUAAGGGCGUUGAGUUCCAGAGUGAAUGUUAUGCCUGUAGCAAAGCCAGUAGGGGUCCACAAUGUUUUAACUGUAGGCGAUUAACCCUGGAGUGCGUUGUAUGUCAUAUAUCUGUACGUGGACUCAGCAAUUUUUGUAUAGUCUGUGGACACGGUGGACACACACAGCACUUGGCUGCUUGGUUUGCUAAUGAAACUUUAUGUCCUGCAGGUUGUGGUUGCUCUUGUUUGCAGGAAACUGCUACACUUUCUAAAAUGUGAACGUUAUAGAUGUAAUAACGUACAUAAUUUACUUGAUAAGAGACAUUAAACAGAAGCGAUAAUAAAUUAUAAUAAGGAUAUCCUUGACUUUUUAUAAUUGUUUCUUAUAUUUAAAGUGGUUAGAGAUUUUUUGGAGUUUGAUUCUGUAUUGACUUGUUUUUUUUUUGUAAAGUUUAAUUCUUUUUUUCGCUUGUAUCACCUAUAUCCAAGAAUAAUAUUUCAAAUUCAAGGAG